UACGUAGGGGGCAAGCGUUGUCCGGAUUUAUUGGGCGUAAAGCGCACGCAGGCGGUGCGGUAAGUUUCGAGUGACAGGUGGUGGCUUAACUGCCACAGGACUCGGAAAACUGCCGCACUUGAGGGCUUGAGAGGGACGCGGAAUUCCAGGUGGAGCGGUGAAAUGCGUAGAGAUCUGGAGGAACACCAGUGGCGAAGGCGGCAUCCUGGACCGGCAUUGACGCUGAGGCGCGAAAGCUAGGGUAGCAAACGGG
rnacentral:rRNA from 1 species